GCCAGUAUCCAGUGUGUUGGAUACAGUGGAACCCAUUCUUUCACAGAAGUUAAGCAACGUCUCACAUGUUUGGUACUUGGAUGGGUGACCACCUAUCAAAACGGUAUGUGACUCAGGGA
rnacentral:rRNA from 1 species